GGGAAUCUUGCGCAAUGGGCGAAAGCCUGACGCAGCGACGCCGCGUGAGCGGUGAAGGCCUUCGGGUUGUAAAGCUCUGUGGGGAGAGAAGAAUAAGUUCCGGCUAAUACCCGGAGCGAUGACGGUAUCACCUUAGCAAGCACCGGCUAACUCUGUGCCCGCAGCCGCGGUAAGACAGAGGGUGCAAACGUUGUUCGGAAUUACUGGGCGUAAAGCGCGUGUAGGCGGCAAGGCAAGUCGGAUGUGAAAGCCCAUGGCUCAACCGUGGAAGUGCACCCGAAACUGCCUCACUAGAGUCUCGGAGAGGAAGGUGGAAUGCUUGGUGUAGAGGUGAAAUUCGUAGAUAUCAAGCGGAACACCGGUGGCGAAGGCGGCCUUCUGGACGAUGACUGACGCUGAGACGCGAAAGCGUGGGGAGCAAA
rnacentral:rRNA from 1 species